rnacentral:rRNA from 1 species
CAUGAUGAACGCUAGCUACAGGCUUAACACAUGCAAGUCGAGGGGCAGCAUUUUAGUUUGCUUGCAAACUGAAGAUGGCGACCGGCGCACGGGUGAGUAACACGUAUCCAACCUGCCGAUAACUCCGGAAUAGCCUUUCGAAAGAAAGAUUAAUACCGGAUAGUAUACGAAUAUCGCAUGGUAUUUUUAUUAAAGAAUUUCGGUUAUCGAUGGGGAUGCGUUCCAUUAGUUUGUUGGCGGGGUAACGGCCCACCAAGACUACGAUGGAUAGGGGUUCUGAGAGGAAGGUCCCCCACAUUGGAACUGAGACACGGUCCAAACUCCUACGGGAGGCAGCAGUGAGGAAUAUUGGUCAAUGGGCGAGAGCCUGAACCAGCCAAGUAGCGUGAAGGAUGAAGGCUCUAUGGGUCGUAAACUUCUUUUAUAUGGGAAUAAAGUUUUCCACGUGUGGAAUUUUGUAUGUACCAUAUGAAUAAGGAUCGGCUAACUCCGUGCCAGCAGCCGCGGUAAUACGGAGGAUCCGAGCGUUAUCCGGAUUUAUUGGGUUUAAAGGGAGCGUAGGUGGAUUGUUAAGUCAGUUGUGAAAGUUUGCGGCUCAACCGUAAAAUUGCAGUUGAAACUGGCAGUCUUGAGUACAGUAGAGGUGGGCGGAAUUCGUGGUGUAGCGGUGAAAUGCUUAGAUAUCACGAAGAACUCCGAUUGCGAAGGCAGCUCACUAGACUGUCACUGACACUGAUGCUCGAAAGUGUGGGUAUCAAACAGGAUUAGAUACCCUGGUAGUCCACACAGUAAACGAUGAAUACUCGCUGUUUGCGAUAUACAGUAAGCGGCCAAGCGAAAGCAUUAAGUAUUCCACCUGGGGAGUACGCCGGCAACGGUGAAACUCAAAGGAAUUGACGGGGGCCCGCACAAGCGGAGGAACAUGUGGUUUAAUUCGAUGAUACGCGAGGAACCUUACCCGGGCUUAAAUUGCAACAGAAUAUAUUGGAAACAGUAUAGCCGUAAGGCUGUUGUGAAGGUGCUGCAUGGUUGUCGUCAGCUCGUGCCGUGAGGUGUCGGCUUAAGUGCCAUAACGAGCGCAACCCUUAUCUUUAGUUACUAACAGGUGAUGCUGAGGACUCUAGAGAGACUGCCGUCGUAAGAUGUGAGGAAGGUGGGGAUGACGUCAAAUCAGCACGGCCCUUACGUCCGGGGCUACACACGUGUUACAAUGGGGGGUACAGAAGGCGGCUACCUGGUGACAGGAUGCUAAUCCCAAAAACCUCUCUCAGUUCGGAUCGAAGUCUGCAACCCGACUUCGUGAAGCUGGAUUCGCUAGUAAUCGCGCAUCAGCCAUGGCGCGGUGAAUACGUUCCCGGGCCUUGUACACACCGCCCGUCAAGCCAUGAAAGCCGGGGGUACCUGAAGUACGUAACCGCAAGGAGCGUCCUAGGGUAAAACUGGUA